GAACUGAAGAGUUUGAUCAUGGCUCAGAUUGAACGCUGGCGGCAGGCCUAACACAUGCAAGUCGAGCGGAUGAAGGGAGCUUGCUCCUGGAUUCAGCGGCGGACGGGUGAGUAAUGCCUAGGAAUCUGCCUGGUAGUGGGGGAUAACGUCCGGAAACGGGCGCUAAUACCGCAUACGUCCUGAGGGAGAAAGUGGGGGAUCUUCGGACCUCACGCUAUCAGAUGAGCCUAGGUCGGAUUAGCUAGUUGGUGGGGUAAAGGCCUACCAAGGUGACGAUCCGUAACUGGUCUGAGAGGAUGAUCAGUCACACUGGAACUGAGACACGGUCCAGACUCCUACGGGAGGCAGCAGUGGGGAAUAUUGGACAAUGGGCGAAAGCCUGAUCCAGCCAUGCCGCGUGUGUGAAGAAGGUCUUCGGAUUGUAAAGCACUUUAAGUUGGGAGGAAGGGCAGUAAGUUAAUACCUUGCUGUUUUGACGUUACCAACAGAAUAAGCACCGG
rnacentral:rRNA from 1 species